UACGAAGGGGGCUAGCGUUGUUCGGAAUUACUGGCGUAAAGGGCGCGUAGGCGGUCCUGAUCGUCGGAUGUGAAAGGCCUGGCUCAACCUGGGAACUGCAUCCGAUACGGCGGACUGGAGUGUGGAGAGGUUGGUGGAAUUCCCGGUGUAGCAGUGAAUGCGUAGAUAUCGGAGGAAUACCGAUGGCGAAGCAGGUCUCUGGCUAUACUGACGCUCAUGCACGAAAGCGUGGGGAGCAAACAGG
rnacentral:rRNA from 1 species